rnacentral:ncRNA from 2 species
UGUUAUAACAUUUUAAAAGCUCAUAUAAUAGCAAGAAUAAGGCUUGCGAGUUUCUACCAAACUACCGUAAAUAGUUUGACUAUGGGUGAAUAAAAAUUGGUU